rnacentral:rRNA from 1 species
UACAGAGGUCUCAAGCGUUGUUCGGAUUCAUUGGGCGUAAAGGGUGCGCAGGCGGUGCGCUAAGUCGGAUGUGAAAUCUCACAGCCUAUCUGUGAUUGGUCAUUCGAAACUGGCGCGCUAGAGGACUGGAGAGGAGACUGGAAUAGUCGGUGUAGCGGUGAAAUGCGUAGAGAUCGACUAGAACACCCGUGGCGAAGGCGGUUCUCUGGGACGGUACUGACGCUGAGACGCGAAAGCGUGGGGAGCGAACAGG